rnacentral:rRNA from 1 species
CCAAUAGCGUAUAUUAAAGUUGUUGCAGUUAAAAAGCUCGUAGUUGAAUUUCGGGGUCAGUAGGUUGGUCAUGCCACUGGUAUGUACUGGUCUCACUGAUUCCUCCUUCCUGAUGAGCCGUAAUGCCAUUAAUUUGGUGUUGCGAGGAAUCUGGACUGUUACUUUGAAAAAAUUAGAGUGUUUAAAGCAGGCUAACGCUUGAAUACAUUAGCAUGGAAUAAUGAAAUAGGACGUUCGAUCCUAUUUUGUUGGUUUCUAAGAUUGACGUAAUGAUUAAUAGGGAUAGUUGGGGGCAUUAGUAUUCAAUUGUCAGAGGUGAAAUUCUUGGAUUUAUUGAAGACUAACUACUGCGAAAGCAUUUGCCAAGGAUGUUUUCAUUAAUCAAGAACGAAAGUUAGGGGAUCGAAGACGAUCAGAUACCGUCGUAGUCUUAACCAUAAACUAUGCCGACUAGGGAUCGGAUGAUGUUAAUUUUUUAAUGACUCAUUCGGCGCCUUACG